rnacentral:rRNA from 1 species
AGCGAACGCUGGCGGCAGGCUUAACACAUGCAAGUCGAGCGGGCACUUUCGGGUGUCAGCGGCGGACGGGUGAGUAACGCGUGGGAACGUGCCCUCUGGUUCGGAAUAACUCAGGGAAACUUGAGCUAAUACCGGAUACGCCCUUUUGGGGAAAGGCUUGCUGCCGGAGGAUCGGCCCGCGUCUGAUUAGCUAGUUGGUGAGGUAACGGCUCACCAAGGCGACGAUCAGUAGCUGGUCUGAGAGGAUGAUCAGCCACACUGGGACUGAGACACGGCCCAGACUCCUACGGGAGGCAGCAGUGGGGAAUAUUGGACAAUGGGCGCAAGCCUGAUCCAGCCAUGCCGCGUGAGUGAUGAAGGCCUUAGGGUUGUAAAGCUCUUUUAUCCGGGACGUUAAUGACGGUACCGGAGGAAUAAGCCCCGGCUAACUUCGUG